UGUAAACUCCUUUCGCUAGGGACGAAGCUUUUUGUGACGGUACCUAGAUAAGAAGCACCGGCUAACUACGUGCCAGCAGCCGCGGUAAUACGUAGGGUGCGAGCGUUGUCCGGAAUUACUGGGCGUAAAGAGCUCGUAGGUGGUUUGUCGCGUCGUUUGUGGAAUACCGCAGCUUAACUGCGGGGUUGCAGGCGAUACGGGCAUAACUUGAGUGCUGUAGGGGAGACUGGAAUUCCUGGUGUAGCGGUGGAAUGCGCAGAUAUCAGGAGGAACACCGGUGGCGAAGGCGGGUCUCUGGGCAACAACUGACGCUGAGGAGCGAAAGCGUGGGGAGCGAACAGGCUUAGAUACCCUGGUAGUCCACGCUGUAAACGAUGAGGACUGGUUGUUGGAAGGGUUUGCCUUUCAGUGACGCAGCUAACGCGCUAAGUCCUCCGCCUGGGGAGUACGGCCGCAAG
rnacentral:rRNA from 1 species